AAUCUUUUUGUUCUCUUCUCAUUGAAUCAAUGUGCUGUUUUCAUUUUACAUAAUAAACACAUUCACUGAGGAACCCAGAGUUAUUCAGCCUUGGCAUCACCCCUCCCCAUCACGGUUUAGCACAAUGUCCUCAAAGAUAAUUCUUUUUUAAAAACCUGCCUUGUAUACUCUCCCUUUUGCCUUUUUGGAGUAUUAUAUAUCUAAGUGACAAGAGUCUUACAAAUAUUUAGGAAGAUAAACACUCUACCUCUGUUCAGUACAACAGAAGCAUUCAUACAUCAUUUAUCAAUCCCCCUGUUCACCUGUCUGGUUCCAGGGAGAACAAUAACCCCUGAAUGGGCUCAGUACAUUGUGGCUGAUUACUGUCCAGGGCACCAUUAUUGGUGAUCUUCUCUUGUCAUUGGUUUAGAGGUGUCAGGGAGAAUACUGGUCCAAAAACAGGGCUACUGUGGCAAGGCCAAUAAUCAUUAUAUAUGUUACUGUUCACUUGCAAGCUGAUAAAUAUUAUAUUAAGAUUGAAAAAUAGUUCUGGAAAUAAUUUUCAAAUAAAUAUAUGGUUAAUCAUUUUCUGCAUGAUUUCACUUUAAAAAUUAGGUGGAAUAUUAUUUUUACAAAUAAUUUAUGGUAUUUUAAACAUUUUUAAUGGUCAACUCUCAAAAUCCAAAUCAAAUCAUCAGAAAGUAGAAAUUGGGUAAACCUAAUUCCAUAAGUCUCCUAAUUAAAAUGUAAAACGCCUAGGCACCAAUUGCCCCUGUUUUCAUAUGAAAACAAAUUGGCUGUCUUUUUUUUUCUCCUCAGUGAAUUCAUCAAAUUGGAACUAAAUUACUUGCUUGAUCAUUAUAUGUGCAUCACUUACAUUACACAGAAGUGUCAUUCAUGAGUCAGUUUUCAGAGAAUGGAGUAGACUUUGCUUUGUGGAACUGCUGUCAGUUUUGCUGCCCCUCAUAUUUAGCAUGGCACUUAGCUGCCAUUGUCAACAGUGUCAAUCCAAAUGGCAUUAGUUAUGGAGAUGAAGAUGGAGAAGGACUAAUGGGAAAUAUUCACUAGAUCAGGGGCCAGCUCAGAGGGAGCUAGGGAGUGGCUCCAUCCAUAAUCUGUGCAUCCCCUUCUUCAAUACCACUAACCCUACCCUCUAAAGAUUGUGGUUUUUACAUAGCAUAAAAUAGAAUAAAUUUAUAUCAUUGGUUUUAAGGAGUAACCAUGGCAAAGUGCCUUUUUUCUGUCUUUGCAUUCUCUCUCAGAUGUGGGAUUCAGAGAUGAUUUUGCACUUGCUUGACAAAAGAAGCAUUCCUCCACCCCCACUAGUGCAUCUCUGAGUAACGAAUGAUCACCUUUCCAUGACAUCUUUUCCUCUUCAAGUACAGUCUAUAUUAAAAUCCUGCUUUACACAACCUUUGCAUGGCUCUGCAUAUGAAAUACUAAAACAUCAUCAGUUUUAAUGAGUCAACCUAGUACUUGAAGAAUUUAUAUUUAUGGCCCAUAGACUAGCUACCCUCCAACAUGAGCUAGAUGAUGCAUUUCUAGGACUUUAAAUUAAUCCUUUUCAUUACAGGAGUAGGUACCCAUGAAAAUGAAUAGAAAUUGCUGAUCUCAUUAAAGGCUGAAUUGAAACCAAUUCUAAUGGUGGCAGUAGCUACAACCUGUGAUAAUUUCCCUAGCUGCUAUAUGAGUUAAAUCCUAUAAUUACUUUUAAAAAAUCUAAAUAGCAUAAUUUUAGGUUGCAUUGUAUUUUUUAUGUGUAUAUUUGUAUGUGUGUUGGAGGACUAAGUAUAGAGAUGUAUUUAAAUAAGCUUGAAAUUUAAUUGGGUUGGCUUGGAUUUUACAUUCAUAAGGCUUUAUAUAUGUCUUUUUACAGACAGAACUUUUUUCUUGUAAUUCCUUUUGAUUCUCAUUCUCAUUUUGAGAGACUGAUCCUUAGAUUAUGACUCUGGACUCUUGUUAUAAAUGCAUACUAUGCUAGAGGGCUAUUUUUACGCUCACAGACUCAAAUCAUUCUGGGAGUUUAAUUUCUCUUCCAGAGUUUGAAACAAAAUUUUAAAUUUAAAAAGAUGAAGACAUUUGUCCUUGCCCUAGGGCCUUGAUUUAAGGUUUAGACAGAAGGUUAAAUAUCAAAACUUUAAUAUAAAUCAAGUGCAUGCAUUUCUGAACAAAGGUCUGGCACCAUCUGCACAGGGCAUUAAUUCCUUUAGCUGGAGGGCUGGAGAGUCUGUUUACAAAAGAAUACACAAUUUAGACAGAACAAGUGCUCUUCUAUGAACUAGAAGAAAAGAGUCAUGUUCAUUUGUCAUCAAAAGCAAACUGUUUCCCUUUUGGUAAGUUAAUGCCCUCCCUUAAAAGGAGAUUAGUCCUGGAAAGUAGAGAAAUUGGAGCCGGCAGGCAGCAUCCCAGAGUAGACACAGAUUUGAAAUUCUUUAAAAGCCUGUGAGUUCAAACUCACUCAGAAUGUCUUCACAACAUCACCAGAGAAUACUGGUAUAUCCAUGUUAUCCAGCAGUUUUAUUUUAGAAUCAUCGUCACAUAACUUUUCAUAGUAACAGGCUGUAUGUAAAUAGACAUCAAUUCUCAGUAGCCAGGCAGUGUGGAAAACUUGGUUAAUGCAGUAAGAAAGCAAGCCCAAAGACCACAAGAGAAAGAAAUUAAUCUUAAGAUAUGACAAGAAGGAUCAUUCCUUGAUUUUAGCUAAUGCCUGUCUUCUAAAAGAUGACCCUGGUUUCUUUAAUAACUUACCCUCAAAAUUAGAUGCAAUGGGUAAUUAUCUUGAUAGAGAAUUUAAAUUCAGCCUUUGAUUCCUCUCAUAGAUGAAUCUCACACUAUGAACACAAGGAUAAUAAUAGGCCAAGGAGCAUUUAAAUAUUUAUACAGAUCAUACUUCAAGUUAUAUUUGGAAACUUUACAAACCUGGUAGAAUGUUUCUCUUCUCACUGCAAAUAAUUUCUAGGACUUUAAAAGUGAAUAUGUUAGUACAGAAAAGCAGCGUAAAAGCCCAGUGACCUUAGAGCUUUGAAUAAAGACAAUUCUAUUAAACAUUCAUUUAUAAGCCAAAAUCAGGGAAUUGGCAGAGGAUAACAACAUGCACCAUACAUAAAUUGAAAACUGUUUCAGGUAUUAUAAUGCAAUAAAAUAUACAUACUACUGAUACUAUUUAAAGCAUUUUAAUAUUUCUUUAAUAGCUUUGAAGUCCCUUAGAAAACUAGCAUUAAUUUAGGAUCUUCAUUAAUAGCAUUACAAUCUUGGGGAGAAAAAUGAGUGGUGAAACUUUCUGGCUAUUUGGAUUUAGGACAAAAAUCUGAUUGUUAGGUUAAUUUGUUUUAUAUCAACCAAGGAUUUAUACUUCCUUUCAGUGAGGUAGCCUAAGGUGUAUUAUUGGAAAUAUGAUACUGCUGAACUCAUUUUUACAUAGUUCUGAUUUUAAAAAAACAAAAAAAUAUAGUCUAGGGAGACAUAUACUUAUAGAUGGAAAAGCAAUUAACAAAAAAGGAAUGCAGAUUGAAAAGACGUAAUGUGAUAUGAAAUUUAAAAAAUAAAAAAGAGAACACUAUUAGAUUUGGUUCAACUCUGGCCUGAAAGCAGCUACCUUUGUGGUUUGGAAAACAUAACUGAGUCAGUUUCUGUAUCGGUGAAACAUAACUCACAGUACAUUUGUUUGUUACAGGUGUUAAAGGAGACCGUCUACAUCAAGGGCUUGGGAUAAUAGUGCUCGUGCUCUGUUUCCACUCUCACUGCCCGUUUAGGUGACAGAAAGGUCAAAGUGCAACUGUUCUUCUCAUCCCAGACUAUUUUAAAGGCCUCAGAAGAGAGAUUUCUCCAUUUCUCACUUUCUGGGUGUUGCUUGUGGGAGAGAUGCCAGCCAGUAGCCUAUCCUUCACCCCUCGGUGGAUCAAAACAGACCUUAUGUGAUUCAGCCUGUAGUUCACUUUGAAGUUUGAAUCAACAUUAUGAAAGCAUUGAUAAUACACAGAUGGGUAUUACUGAAACUGAAAAUGCGGGUGAGUGCUACAUUGGGCAGUCUCUCCUGAAAAUAGCCAUCUUCACUGUCUACAGUUCUCUUCAUUUGUUGUGCCUAAAAAGAUACAUCUGCAAUGUCUUGCUGAUUCUCUGCUUGACCUCCGUUGUUAUUUCUACAAUUUUUGUAUUGUUGUUUCAAGCCUGUAUAGUUUCUUAUGAAUUUAUACAUUUAAACUUUAAUUUUUUCCUAGACCGUUUUGGCAGUCUUUUGGCUUCUGCUGUAGUAUAACCACUUUCUGCUAUGAAUCUUCCUUGCCAACUGCUAUUACUUCUCCCAUAUUCAUAAUGGUUAUUCAAUAAACUGAUAGUAAAAAGCACUUGUUGGGUAACUAAUAUAGUCGAUUAGUUUUUAGCCUUGCCCUGGUCAAUCAAGGCUACUUUCUAAGAAGAAAUGUCAAAAUACAUUAAUUUUGGAUUUAUAUACAAGGAAAAUUAAAUUAACACCUUGUAGAGAUAUCUGCACUUCAUAACUGCAGUGUUUUUACAAUAGCUAAGUAAUGGAAACAAAUGUCUGUCUGUCAACAGAUGACUGGAUGAACACAUUUUGUUCUAUAUACACAUGCACACACACACACAUAAUGGAAUAUUAUUCAGCUUUUAAAAAUGAGAACUUGUCACUUGUGAGGAUAGGUAUUAAUUAAAGAAUGUUAUGCUAAAUGAAAUCAGCCAGACAUAGAGAAAUAAUAUAUGAUCUUUUUAAGAAGUGAAAUCUAAAAAAUAAAGGUCAAAGAAGUUGAAUACAUAGAAACAGAAUAGAAUGGUGAUUACAAAGGUAUUGUGAGGGUGGGAAAGGGGAUACUUAGACCAGUGGAUUCAAAUUUGAAAUUAUGUAGAGUUAAUAAAUCUAAAGAUCGAAAGUACUGCAUGAGGACUAAGGUAAUAAUAUUAUACUAUAUGCAGAAAUUUUUCUAAGAAAGUAUUUUAGGUGCUUUUACCACACACACAAAAUGGUAUCUAUGAGAAAUUUGGAUACAUGUAUUAAAUUUUUCUCCUGUAUUACUCAUAUAAACAUAUAUACACAUACACAUGUCUCAAAACAUCAUGUUGUGCAUUCUCAUUUAUACUAUAAAAAAGAAAUGUAAAAAUAAAGCUUAAGUAUUAAAAAGAAAAGGAAAAAGUAAAUGAGAGAGAGGGAGAGGAGAGGAGGAAACAGAGAGAGAGACAGAGAGAGAGAGAGAGAGAGAGAGAGAGAGAGAGAGAAUUAUAUGCCUGCCUAAAACUUUAUGGGAAGAUAAACAAGAUUUGUUGUAAUAGACUUCUAUCCACCUCUAACAGAUCCAACAUCAAACCUUAACACAGUGAUGGUGAACCUUUUAGAGCUUUCAAUGACAACAAGAAGCAAACUGUGGCAUGUGUGCCAUAGCAUAACAUCUACCAAAUUUCCAACUGCUGAAAAACACCUUCCCAACCUUCUAGCCUCUAGUGUAAUCUCUUCCUUCCAUUUUCCCCAUAAUUUUGCAUUACAAUAAUGAAAAGAUAUACUUGGACUUACAGAGUGCUCCUCACCAUGGAAAAGGAAGAAACUUAGCAGGCAUGUCCUUCCCUCUUCAGUGGCAAGGGGACAGGAAAGCUGGAAUUAUUUUCUUAUUUUUAUUUUUAUUUUCAUAUCUACAAGCUUCAGGUAACAAAUUGGGGAAAGACAGACUAGAACACAAGUGGUAUAAUAGAAAAUGGGUAUUGUCAAUUGGUUACUGAAGAAACUUCAUAAAGUUGAGGCUCAGAGAAAACAUUGUUUUAUUAACACUGAGUGACUUUAUCUCUGAUGGAAAUUAAUUUUGGAGAAUAAAAGGUAUGAAUCUAAGCUUAUACUGUUGUUGAGUAGAAUUUACUCCUUUUAGUAGAGGAUGCUAGAUAUUUGCUGUUUGGAG
rnacentral:lncRNA from 1 species